CGGCACGGGUGAGUAACACGUAUCCAACCUGCCGUCUACUCUUGGACAGCCUUCUGAAAGGAAGAUUAAUACAAGAUGGCAUCAUGAGUUCACAUGUUCACAUGAUUAAAGGUAUUCCUGUAGACGAUGGGGAUGCGUUCCAUUAGAUAGUAGGCGGGGUAACGGCCCACCUAGUCUUCGAUGGAUAGGGGUUCUGAGAGGAAGGUCCCCCACAUUGGAACUGAGACACGGUCCAAACUCCUACGGGAGGCAGCAG
rnacentral:rRNA from 1 species